UCUUGGUCUUGGUCAUUUAGAGGAAGUAAAAGUCGUAACAAGGUUUCCGUAGGUGAACCUGCGGAAGGAUCAUUAUCGUGGGGCUUCGGCCCUCUCGAGAUAGAACCCUUGCCUUUUUGAGUACCUUCGUUUCCUCGGCAGGCUCGCCUGCCAAUGGGGACCCCAAUAAACCCUUUGUAAUACCUGUAAUCGUCUGACAAAACAAACAAAAAUUAAAACUUUCAACAACGGAUCUUUUGGUUCUGGCAUCGAUGAAGAACGCAGCGAAAUGCGAUAAGUAGUGUGAAUUGCAGAAUUCAGUGAAUCAUCGAAUCUUUGMACGCACAUUGCGCCUUAUGGUAUUCCGUAGGGCAUGCCUGUUCCAGCGUCAUUCAAACCUUCAAGCUCUGCUUGGUGUUGGGCGUCUGUCCUGCCUCACGGCGCGGACUCGCCUCAAAUCUAUUGGCGGCCGGCACGUWGGCUUCGAGCGCAGCAGAAACGCGAACUCGAGACCGGCGGAUCGGCUCCCAGAA
rnacentral:rRNA from 1 species